UGCUGGAGGUAUCAGAAGUGCGAAUGCUGACAUAAGUAACGAUAAAGCGGGUGAAAAGCCCGCUCGCCGGAAGACCAAGGGUUCCUGUCCAACGUUAAUCGGGGCAGGGUGAGUCGACCCCUAAGGCGAGGCCGAAAGGCGUAGUCGAUGGGAAACGGGUUAAUAUUCCCGUACUUGGUGUUACUGCGAAGGGGGGACGGAGAAGGCUAUGUUGGCCGGGCGACGGUUGUCCCGGUUUAAGCGUGUAGGUGUGUGUUCCAGGUAAAUCCGGUUCACUUUAACACUGAGGCGUGACGACGAGGCACUACGGUGCUGAAGCAACAAAUGCCCUGCUUCCAGGAAAAGCCUCUAAGCAUCAGGUAACANGAAAUCGUACCCCAAACCGACACAGGUGGUCAGGUAGAGAAUACCAAGGCGCUUGAGAGAACUCGGGUGAAGGAACUAGGCAAAAUGGUGCCGUAACUUCGGGAGAAGGCACGCUGACACGUAGGUGAAGUGAUUUACUCAUGGAGCUGAAGUCAGUCGAAGAUACCAGCUGGCUGCAACUGUUUAUUAAAAACACAGCACUGUGCAAACACGAAAGUGGACGUAUACGGUGUGACGCCUGCCCGGUGCCGGAAGGUUAAUUGAUGGGGUCAGCGNAAGCGAAGCUCCUGAUCGAAGCCCCGGUAAACGGCGGCCGUAACUAUAACGGUCCUAAGGUAGCGAAAUUCCUUGUCGGGUAAGUUCCGACCUGCACGAAUGGCGUAAUGAUGGCCAGGCUGUCUCCACCCGAGACUCAGUGAAAUUGAACUCGCUGUGAAGAUGCAGUGUACCCGCGGCAAGACGGAAAGACCCCGUGAACCUUUACUAUAGCUUGACACUGAACAUUGAGCCUUGAUGUGUAGGAUAGGUGGGAGGCUUUGAAGUGUGGACGCCAGUCUGCAUGGAGCCGACCUUGAAAUACCACCCUUUAAUGUUUGAUGUUCUAACGUGGACCCGUAAUCCGGGUUGCGGACAGUGUCUGGUGGGUAGUUUGACUGGGGCGGUCUCCUCCUAAAGAGUAACGGAGGAGCACGAAGGUUGGCUAAUCCUGGUCGGACAUCAGGAGGUUAGUGCAAUGGCAUAAGCCAGCUUGACUGCGAGCGUGACGGCGCGAGCAGGUGCGAAAGCAGGUCAUAGUGAUCCGGUGGUUCUGAAUGGAAGGGCCAUCGCUCAACGGAUAAAAGGUACUCCGGGGAUAACAGGCUGAUACCGCCCAAGAGUUCAUAUCGACGGCGGUGUUUGGCACCUCGAUGUCGGCUCAUCACAUCCUGGGGCUGAAGUAGGUCCCAAGGGUAUGGCUGUUCGCCAUUUAAAGUGGUACGCGAGCUGGGUUUAGAACGUCGUGAGACAGUUCGGUCCCUAUCUGCCGUGGGCGCUGGAGAACUGAGGGGGGCUGCUCCUAGUACGAGAGGACCGGAGUGGACGCAUCACUGGUGUUCGGGUUGUCAUGCCAAUGGCACUGCCCGGUAGCUAAAUGCGGAAGAGAUAAGUGCUGAAAGCAUCUAAGCACGAAACUUGCCCCGAGAUGAGUUCUCCCUGAGACUUAGAGUCUCCUGAAGGAACGUUGAAGACGACGACGUUGAUAGGCCGGGUGUGUAAGCGCAGCGAUGCGUUGAGCUAACCGGUACUAAUGAACCGUGAGGCUUAACCUUACAACGCCGAAG
rnacentral:rRNA from 1 species